GUGGAAACUUCUCACUAAGCUUUGUGAGAGCAGGAGGAGCAGCCACUGCACAUAACCUGAAAGAUGCAAGUCAUGUAAUCAGCAAGUUGGAAACAAAAAUGUAACUAGAGACAUCAAAAACUCAAAACUCUCACACUGAAGCAAUGUUCAUUCAGAAAAUUCAGUUCAGUGUGUGUUGAGUAUUGGAAAGUAUAUUAGCGACCAAACUAAUAAGAGUUAAUCCAUUGUUUUACAUAUGUUUCAGGAUGAGGUUUUCUAAAAAUGCUUGUAGCAAAAUCUAGAACUGCUUGAGAGACUAAAGAGAGGAGCCGUCACAACUAAGUAUUUAAACAUGCAAGGUUUGUGGCAAACUAUCAGUCACAAUAUAUGGUGCAAACAAAUAUUUUAGCAAAUAAACAUAAAUGAAUAUGUUGGAAACCUACCACUUUAAUCUGACUAUUGUCAACCCCACGUUCCUUUAUUAGGUCAAUAGCUGCAACGAUUGUACCACCUAGGAAGAUGUAGAAAAUCCAGUCAGAUGAGAAAAGAAAUCAGGUGAAAAAUACUUUAUAAGCAGAAAACUUAACGAUUUAUAGCUACUACCAUGAGAUUAUACAUGUGUCUGUCCGUACAUUCUACGAGAUGCACACAUUAAACUACACAAACUGAAGUGAAGGAAAAGACAAAUGUUUGCCACAAAAAGAUAGACCAAGUCCAGUAGCAAUUAAUCUGAACUCCUUAAAAAGGAAAAAAAAAAAAAAAAAAAAAAGAAAAUGUAGAAAAUCCAGUCAGAUGAGAAAAGAAAUCAGGUGAAAAAUACUUUAUAAGCAGAAAACUUAACGAUUUAUAGCUACUACCAUGAGAUUAUACAUGUGUCUGUCCG
rnacentral:lncRNA from 1 species